UACGUAGGGGGGCUAGCGUUGUCCGGAAUCAUUGGGCGUAAAGCGCGUGUAGGCGGCCCGGUAAGUCCGCUGUGAAAGUCGGGGGGCUCAACCCUCGGAUGCCGGUGGAUACUGUCGGGCUUGAGUACGGAAGAGGCGAGUGGAAUUCCUGGUGUAGCGGUGAAAUGCGCAGAUAUCAGGAGGAACACCAAUUGCGAAGGCAGCUCGCUGGGACGUUACUGACGCUGAGACGCGAAAGCGUGGGGAGCAAACAGG
rnacentral:rRNA from 1 species